rnacentral:rRNA from 1 species
CGUCUGGAUAUACAGGCAUCCUGGUUUAACUUCUGGUGCCCAGGCAGCCGCGGUAAUACUAGAGGGUGCGAGCGUUAAUCCGGAUUUAGUGGGGCGUAAAGCGUGCGUAGGCGGCCCAAUUAAGUCAAAUGUGAAAUCCCCGAGCUUUAACUUGGGAAUUGCAUUCGAUACUGGUUGGCUAGAGUAUGGGAGAGGAUGGUAGAAUUCCAGGUGUAGCGGUGAAAUGCGUAGAGAUCUGGAGGAAUACCGAUGGCGAAGGCAGCCAUCUGGCCUAAUACUGACGCUGAGGUACGAAAGCAUGGGGAGCAAACAGGAUUAGAUACCCUGGUAGUCCAUGCCGUAAACGAUGUCUACUAGCCGUUGGGGCCCUUGAGGCUUUAGUGGCGCAGCUAACGCGAUAAGUAGACCGCCUGGGGAGUACGGUCGCAAGACUAAAACUCAAAUGAAUUGACGGGGGCCCGCACAAGCGGUGGAGCAUGUGGUUUAAUUCGAUGCAACGCGAAGAACCUUACCUGGCCUUGACAUACAGAGAACUUUCCAGAGAUGGAUUGGUGCCUUCGGGAACUCUGAUACAGGUGCUGCAUGGCUGUCGUCAGCUCGUGUCGUGAGAUGUUGGGUUAAGUCCCGCAACGAGCGCAACCCUUUUCCUUAUUUGCCAGCACUUCGGGUGGGAACUUUAAGGAUACUGCCAGUGACAAACUGGAGGAAGGCGGGGACGACGUCAAGUCAUCAUGGCCCUUACGGCCAGGGCUACACACGUGCUACAAUGGUCGGUACAAAGGGUUGCUACACAGCGAUGUGAUGCUAAUCUCAAAAAGCCGAUCGUAGUCCGGAUUGGAGUCUGCAACUCGACUCCAUGAAGUCGGAACCGGCUAGUAAUACGCUGAUCAGAAUGACCGCGAGCGGG